AGGGAAUCCCAAGAAUACUGGAGUGGGUAGCCUAUCCCUUCUCCAGUGGAUCGUCCCAACCCAGGAAUCGAACUGGGGUCUCUUACAUUGCAGGAGAAUUCUUUACCAGCUGAGUUACCAGAGAAGCCAUAGAAAAUUGAAAGAAACUAUCUGUGGCACACUCCUGAGAGCCACUUAUCAUCACAGGAAAGGUCACCAAAUUUGAUGCCCUGUCUCUUCGUAAAUGAAAGCUGCAUAACCCAUCUUCUAGUUUGUUCAGUUACUAUUUCAAAAGGAAGAUCGUGGUCGUACCUCAUAUUAUUAGUAUGAAGUUCUGUGAAAAUCCUAGUCUUCAAAUAUCCUUUUCCGUGUAUAUUUAAUGAUAUCAAUGGUAUUCUGUGAACAGUAUGCACUUCUAGCUUGUGUUUCUUUGCUGGGAUAACCUGAGUGAUGCUGUGAAGGCGUUUCAUGUGUGACCCUAUCUCUGUCACCCCAUUCUGGAAUCUCUUCCGGUUUUAGUGACUGUGUUUCUGCAGUGUUCCUAUAAAACACAGUUUCUGUUACAGAUUUAAUUGUUGAGACUGUAUCUUCUUUAAUAACUUCCAUGUAUCCUACAAAGUGAGCUUCCCAGAUGUCACUAGUGGUAGAGAACCUGCCUGCCAAUGCCGGAGAUAUAAGAGAUGUGGGUUCAAUCCCUGGGUGGGGAAGAUCCACUGGAGGAGGUCAUAGCAACCCGCUCUGGUAUUCUUGUCUGGAGAAUACCAUGGACGGAUGGGCCUCGCGGGCUACAGUCCAUGGGGUGCAAAAGAGCUGGACAUGACUUAGUGACUAAGCACACACACACGGCUGAAUCUAGCCUGUCUUCUGUUUUUGUCAAUAAAGCUUUAUUGAAACACA